AUUGAACGCUGGCGGCAUGCUUUACACAUGCAAGUCGAACGGUAACAGGCCGCAAGGUGCUGACGAGUGGCGAACGGGUGAGUAAUGCAUCGGAACGUGCCCAGUCGUGGGGGAUAACGCAGCGAAAGCUGCGCUAAUACCGCAUACGAUCUCUGGAUGAAAGCGGGGGACCGAAAGGCCUCGCGCGAUUGGAGCGGCCGAUGUCAGAUUAGGUAGUUGGUGGGGUAAAGGCCCACCAAGCCAACGAUCUGUAGCUGGUCUGAGAGGACGACCAGCCACACUGGGACUGAGACACGGCCCAGACUCCUACGGGAGGCAGCAGUGGGGAAUUUUGGACAAUGGGCGCAAGCCUGAUCCAGCAAUGCCGCGUGCAGGAAGAAGGCCUUCGGGUUGUAAACUGCUCUUGUACGGAACGAAACGGUCCGGGUUAAUACCCUGGGCUAAUGACGGUACCGCAAGAAUAAGCACCGGCUAACUACGUGCCAGCAGCCGCAGUAACAC
rnacentral:rRNA from 1 species